rnacentral:rRNA from 1 species
GAACGCUGGCGGCAGGCCUAACACAUGCAAGUCGAACGGUAACAGGAAGCAGCUUGCUGCUUCGCUGACGAGUGGCGGACGGGUGAGUAAUGUCUGGGAAACUGCCUGAUGGAGGGGGAUAACUACUGGAAACGGUAGCUAAUACCGCAUAACGUCGCAAGACCAAAGAGGGGGACCUUCGGGCCUCUUGCCAUCAGAUGUGCCCAGAUGGGAUUAGCUUGUUGGUGGGGUAACGGCUCACCAAGGCGACGAUCCCUAGCUGGUCUGAGAGGAUGACCAGCCACACUGGAACUGAGACACGGUCCAGACUCCUACGGGAGGCAGCAGUGGGGAAUAUUGCACAAUGGGCGCAAGCCUGAUGCAGCCAUGCCGCGUGUAUGAAGAAGGCCUUCGGGUUGUAAAGUACUUUCAGCGGGGAGGAAGGUGUUGUGGUUAAUAACCGCAGCAAUUGACGUUACCCGCAGAAGAAGCACCGGCUAACUCCGUGCCAGCAGCGGC